rnacentral:rRNA from 1 species
UACGGGGGGAGCAAGCGUUGUUCGGAUUACUGGCGUAAAGGGCGCGUAGGCGGCCACCGCAAGUCGACUGUGAAAUCUCCGGGCUUAACCCGGAAAGGUCAGCCGAUACUGCGGGGCUAGAGUGCAGAAGGGCAACUGGAAUUCUCGGUGUAGCGGUGAAAUGCGUAGAUAUCGAGAGGAACACCUGCGGCGAAGGCGGGUUGCUGGGCUGACACUGACGCUGAGGCGCGAAAGCGUGGGGAGCAAACAGG